GACAGAGGUGGCUAGCGUUGUUCGGAUUCAUUGGGUGUAAAGGGUGCGUAGGCGGCUUAGAAAGUCAGAUGUGAAAUCCCACAGCUCAACUGUGGAACUGCAUCUGAAACUUCUAGGCUAGAGUACGAGAGAGGUGAAGGGAAUUCCCGGUGUAAGGGUGAAAUCUGCAGAGAUCGGGAGGAACACCAGUAGCGAAGGCGCUUCACUGGCUCGUAACUGACGCUGAGUGCACGAAGGCGUGGGGAGCAAACGGGAUUAGAUACCCCUGUAGU
rnacentral:rRNA from 1 species